rnacentral:rRNA from 1 species
AGAGAGAGACAUGCGCGCAUAUCAAUAAGCGGAGGAAAAGAAACUAACAAGGAUUCCCUUAGUAACGGCGAGUGAAGCGGGAAGAGCUCAAAUUUGAAAUCUUCAAGGUUCUACCUUGACGAAUUGUAGUUUAUAGAAGUGUUUUCUGUUAGUGGAGUGGCAAAAGUUCUUUGGAAUAGGACAUCAUAGAGGGUGAGAAUCCCGUAUUUGGUCAUUCCUCCUAGCGUUGUGAUACACUUUCAACGAGUCGGAUUGUUUGGGAAUGCAGUCCAAAAUGGGUGGUAAAUUUCAUCUAAAGCUAAAUAUUGGCGAGAGACCGAUAGCGAACAAGUACCGUGAGGGAAAGAUGAAAAGAACUUUGAAAAGAGAGUUAAACAGUACGUGAAAUUGUCAAAAGGGAAGCGUUUGACACCAGUGUUGUUUUUCCGAAAAUCAAUUACGAAUGUUUUGUUUUUAAGGAGUUAUGACUUCAUCGGCUUGCUUCUUUCUUUACGAAACUUUCUUAAUGCACUUUUCGGUUAACAAGUCAACAUCAAUUUCUUUUGUUGUAAAAGGGUACGAGGAAGGUGGCUUUCUUUUCGGAGAAAGUGUUUAUAGCCUUGUACCUCUGCAAUCGGAGAGAUUGAGGUCUGCAGCGUAGAUCCUUCGGGGUUAGAUACAUUUGUGCUAAAUUAUAGGCUUUUCAUAGACAACUUGUUGACUAUGUUUAGUCUUGUAGCUUACUCGCUUAUGCUAUUUUACCUACGCUUAGGAUGUUGAUCUGUAGUGCGUGCGC